rnacentral:lncRNA from 1 species
GGGGGCGCGAGGGUGCUAUAGGGCGCUAUGGGGCGCUGCUCUCCGCCUUCAUUCCUCGCCCCCCCCGGCCCGCACAGCCCCCCCCGCAUCACCCCCGUGUACCCCCCGCGGCUGCCUCACCGCUCCCGGCGGCUCUCCCCGCUUGGAAAUGGAGAGCGGCGGCGCUCGCCAGGGCUCGCCGGCAUCCCGCGAGAGGAAGUAGCUGAGACAGGACGUGGAGCCAAGAGAGCUGCCAGUGGCCACCCAGGCCCCGCAACCCUUGUGAGGGGCAGGGAUGGCGGUGGUAUGGCCACAGGGGCCAUGCGUAGCAAGCCACGUGUCCCCAGCAAAACGACUGUUCCCUUCCUUCAUUCAUUCCCCCAGCUGAAGGCAUUUUCCCUCUGGAGCACAUCCUCCCAAAGGCUUUUUGAAGCAUUCACCUCCGCGUAUUUGUAUUUAUUUCCCCAGCCCAGCAUUCGGUCAGGCUGCUCUGAGUGGGGAUCGCAGGUGCCAUCAUGGAGGCCCACGGUGAGCACCUGCCAAUGCAAAGGGGGCAUAUCCCCCACACUGACCACCGUCAUCACUGCUGUGUGCUCACAGCUUAUUUGUGCCCGUGCCUGCGUGCGAAACACAUGUGCACAAGCACACAUGUCUGUGGAUAUGCAUAUAUCCAAUAGCGGCGGCCCUGGUAAGCAGAGCGGUGAUUUCUCUCCUCCAGAUAGAUGUAUAAUGCACACACACGGCGAUGAUACCUAAGGUGUUUGGGGGUGGGGAUGCAUAAUAUCUUCUAAAUUUGAAGUUUUUAUCAGGCAGAGCAGAUUACUUUAAGCGUUCCAUUUCUCAGCGAUCCAAUUUUAUUAGGAUUUACUAUCAUUUGUGCUGGGCAUCCCUGGGGAAAUAAUGCUUUGAUUAAUGUAAUCCUGGGCUGGGAUCCGCCACAUGCCCCUCUCCCUGGAGAAGGGCCCUGUUUGACAAACAACAACAGAGCAGCAACUCUUGCAAUCCGCGCUCACCUUUAGGAAACACGCGGCCACGCUCGCACAGAACGCUGCCACCGCCUCCCCCCCAUAGCCCAGGCACAAUAGCAGCGCUGCGAAACAAUGUGCGCUCAUUCAUUUGCACACAAUGCCCGCGAUUCAGUGCGGGCUGUACGGCCCAACCCUCGGCUGCACGGAGCCAGCCCAGAAAGGACACCGCUCCGCUCCCCGCUGGGAAGCCGCAGCAUCUCGAGGAGCUCAAUGCCUCUCUGUAUUGCAGCUCUCCGUGGGCUCACAGCACUUCUGUCUCUUUGUUUCCCGCUUCAGGCCUCGCUGCAAACUGAUUUCCAGGCUGUGACCCGCCCCCCCCACACCCCCCCCCGGGCCAGAGGCUCCCCCGGAGAGUGCGGUCAGAACGUAUGGAUCCAUUUCUCUGCCUUUUGGGGGUGUUCCGGCCACUGCCACGCACGUUUGUCCGUGCCAAAGGCUGGCAGGGGCUGUUGUGUUAUUCACGUGGGUCUGGGGGAAUACACACGCCCAGGGCAAGAGGCCAACGCCAGGUGACCCGACGCUCCUCCCUCCCUUCACCCCCGAGCGGUCAAAAUGGCAAUAUAAUGAUUAUUUCUACCCCAAACACGCGGGUCCCGCUGCACCCAAGGAGAGUGACAAAGGCCACGCGUGGGCUACUCCACUUCGAGCGUGAAUUGUCAAACCCGGGGACAGAGGAGGGAGGGGUGCUCUGGGGUUCACCAUAGGGCGCCGCUGUGUGCGCGCACGCCGCUGACCCCGACGCGGUGACUCAGCGCUGCGGUGGCUGAGCGGCCGCACGGGGAGUCCCCCCCCCUCCCUCCCUCUUUUCUUUCCUGAUGAAAAACGGUGCAGUUCCGUCUCUGCGUGCUGGUCGGGGAGUCCAGCUAACACGCCUUAAACGCGUUGUCAGGCGCUGGUUAAAGAAGGAAGGCGGGGGGGGGGGGGGGGGGGGGAAGAGAGAAGGGGGCAAAACCAGGCGUGCAGUGUUGUGCGUGCCCGGAGUGCGCCUCUCUCCCUUCCCUCUCCCUCUUCUCUCACCACGGGCUCCAUCCCCCGUUCCCCACUUCCCUCCACUCCUGCACACCGCUGCCGCCGGGCUGGGGGGGUCCCCUCCUCUGCGGGGCGGGGGGGGGGAGACGAUGGAUAACGUUAACUUCGGGCUGUGGUGGAGUUGAGCUGAGCUGCGGGCAACGUGCCACGAACGCUUCGAAGUACCCCGCAGCAGAGAAUGGAUAGAUCGGGGGAGCGGGUGUGAAACGCGCACGUAGAAACUCAACGCACGGCAGUGUAAACCCCCCAAAGCGGGUUAAAUCAAUCCCAAUACGGGGAGAUGAAAUAAAAAUAAAUAAAUAAAUAAACAAACAAACAAAGCAGGGUAAAAGCGUGGCUGCCGCAUUCACGCACGGAGAGAGGAGCCGGCAGCGUGUGCGUGUUUGUGUGCGGUGCCAAAAAGAGCAGCUUCCAGGUCGACCCGCCGCAAUCUGCACCGCGCUCCUCACACAAUGGCCAAGUUCACAUGGCAAAAAUUGUAAUAAUAAGAGCAGAGCCGCCAAACUGCGCCCGGGCUGCUUUCUGGUGCGCCACAAUUCUUCCCCUCCUUAUCCACUACGAGACUGCCCGUCUCUGCGCGCGUAAAAGAAAAUCUAUGCAGUGCAUAUGGAUCUUUCUCCCCCCCCACACCCCCCCCCUUUUUUUUUCACAUGUGAAACGCCAUUGAGAUGGCGAGCACGCAAAUGGGAAUGCUAUCAUGUCUCAUAAAAGCGGGGCUACGGUUUUCACCGUCUUUUAAGACAGACUCCAACUUGCAAAUCCCCCUUUUUAUGUCCCUACGUGCAGAAUUAUUCCUAUAAACACAAACGUGCGUGUGCGAGGAGCUGCUGGGUAACAGCACGGCCCCGCGAUUUUAACGUCGAAGGGAGCACCGGGUUUCCAUCCCGUGUACCGAGAGGGUCAACGGAGACCGUUCCCAUCCUUGAGCAACUUUCGUCUCAGGGGCGGACGGCGCCGUCCAACCUCCCGCAGCCACGAGCACAGCGGAUCCGGCACGGGAGAGUUCGGGCAGCGCGGAGCGGUGCGCUUCGGCCAAGGGUGGCACCGGGAUCCCAGCGCAGUGCCGCACUCCGCGCGGCCGGGCUUUACGCACAGCGCAGUACGCGGGAGGUGUCUUUACGUUUAACGUUUUAAUUUGGACAUGCUAAUUAGGCUGUGGGUCUCCACGGUUCUAUCGGCGGAUAGCUGAUCGCUUCCCUCUGCGAGGAAGUGUCUGCUAAAUACAUUUCCCGGCCCCGAUCUCCGUUCCCAGAAGCCCGUCUAGCAGAACCGUCCCGUCGGGCGAAACGGACCUUUAAUAAUGGAAGGCCGAGGGAGGUUCUGCGCAGCGGCGCACCGCCUCGGGCACGGCCCCAACGCGGCCCUCUGCAGCGGAGCCAUCGAAAUAACUCCGUGCCCAGCGAACUUGUUGCUCGCUUUCAGCUCCUCCGCUCACCCCGGCUCGGGUCGGUGCCAGGCGAGGGGCAGAGGCAGCCUGGGGGAGAAGCCGCCGCUGUCGGGGUGAGAAACUUCCCGGGCUCCAAAGCCGCCCGCUCUGGGCGUCGAGGGGCAGCGGCCGCUCCGCUGCUGGGAACUGCGCCCUGGCCAUGUGUUUUCCCCGUGUGGAACGUUGCUCGCAAGUGCGGGAGGUGGAAAGUUUUGUUCACGUCAUUAUCUCAAAGCUUUCCCCGCGCGGUCAGUGGACGCAGAGGCUUCACUCCGUUUUCCGAAUGAAAACCCACGGACGCUUGAUGUGAAAAGUGCAUGCUCCCGUGGGCCGUGCUUUCCCCGAUUACUUUCUUUUUUCUUUUUCUUUUUCUUUUUUUCUUUCACUUUCUUGGCUCCGUCCCGCCAGGAUCUCUCUACGUUUACGGGCUGUACGGUUUCCAGGGCUCCAAUGGGGCUUUCCCUGAUGGAGGCGAGGAACAGAACUUUCCCACUCGCUCGGAAACUGCCGAGGAUCCGGCGGGGGGAGCACACAAAGAGGCCCCAAAUCCCCCCCGGGGCUCAGGGACAUCCCCUGCAGGUGCAGGACCAAAGCUGCAGGGAUGGCCCAAAGCGGUGCAUGUGUCGCUCUCGUCCCCUAUUAUGAGCACUACGGGAGUGAAACGGGGGGUGCGGAGCGGGUUCUUGGGACAGCGGUUCUUGAGCCCACGCACGUUGGUGAAGGGAAACGCGGGGCCGUGCGCGCCGUCGGGCUGAGCCAGGGUUAAUGCCUGCGGGCCCAGACACGCUGUGCUCCGGGCGGGGGGUGGGGGGGUGGUGGCGAGGGGGCUCUGCCAGCUGCUCCCGCAGCGUGGGGAGCGGGAGGGGCGGAAAGGAGGAGCCAUCAGAUUAGGGCACACAAAAACAUUUAAAAAAAUAAAAUAAAAAAAAUAUAUAAAAAGACUACUUUUCCAGGCUUAACACAGCCAUUAAAUAUUAAAAGUUCAAAAAAAAUUAUAUAUAUAUGUAUAUAUAUAAAAGACCACGAGUCGUUUUAUUGCAUCUCCACGGGCUUAAGCGCUUUAUUUGGGCGAUAAAAAAUAUUAAAACAAACAAAUAAAUCAAAAUCGUGUGUGUAAUUGGUGCCCUCACUCCCUUGACGGCCUCGGAUCCCUCGCAGGUAUCGCCCCCCGAUCCCGCAGCUCCACCCCCAGCAAUCCCG